AUUGAACGCUGGCGGCAUGCCUUACACAUGCAAGUCGAACGGCAGCACGGGGGCAACCCUGGUGGCGAGUGGCGAACGGGUGAGUAAUGCAUCGGAACGUGCCCAGUAGUGGGGGAUAACCAGUCGAAAGACCGGCUAAUACCGCAUACGACCUACGGGUGAAAGCGGGGGACCGUAAGGCCUCGCGCUCUUGGAGCGGCCGAUGUCUGAUUAGCUAGUUGGAGGGGUAAAGGGCCACCAAGGCGACGAUCAGUAGCUGGUCUGAGAGGACGACCAACCACACGGGGACUCAGACACGGCCCAGCCUCCUACGGGAGGCAGCAGUGGGGAAUUUUGGAAAAUGGGCGCAAGCCUGAUCCAGCCAUGCCGCGUGCGGGAAGAAGGCCUUCGGGUUGUAAACCGCUUUUGGCAGGAACGAGACGGCGCAAGCUAAUACCUUGCGCUAAUGACGGUACCUGCAGAAUAAGCACCGGCUAACUACGUGCCAGCCGCCGCAGUAAUAC
rnacentral:rRNA from 1 species